rnacentral:rRNA from 1 species
UCGAGAAUAAUUCACAAUGGGGGCAACCCUGAUGGUGCAACGCCGCGUGGAGGAUACGGUCUUCGGAUUGUAAACUCCUGUCAUCCGGGAGUUAGUACCGGAAGAGGAAGGGACGGCUAACUUCGUGCCAGCAGCCGCGGUAAUACGAAGGUCCCGAGCGUUGUUCGGAAUCACUGGGCGUAAAGGGAGCGUAGGCGGCGUGGUAAGUCAGAUGUGAAAUCCCGGGGCUCAACCCCGGAACUGCAUCCGAUACUGCCGUGCUAGAGGAUUGGAGAGGUAGCUGGAAUUCUUGGUGUAGCAGUGAAAUGCGUAGAGAUCAAGAGGAACACUCGUGGCGAAAGCGAGCUACUGGACAAUAUCUGACGCUGAGGCUCGAAGGCCAGGGUAGCGAAAGGGAUUAGAUACCCUGGUAGU